UACGGAGGGUGCUAGCGUUAGUCGGAAUUACUGGGCGUAAAGGGUGCGUAGGCGGGAGUACAAGUCGUAUGUGAAAUUCCGGGGCUUAACCUCGGAGCUGCAGACGAAACUGUAUUUCUUGUCGGAUGGCGGAGAAAAUGGAAUUCCACGAGUAGCGGUGAAAUGCGUAGAUACGUGGAAGAACACCUGUGGCGAAAGCGGUUUUCUAGCCUACCCGAGACGCUGAGGCACGAAAGUUAGGGGAGCAAACAGG
rnacentral:rRNA from 1 species